rnacentral:rRNA from 1 species
UACGGGGGGGGCGAGCGUUGUCCGGAUUUACUGGGCGUAAAGAGCGCGCAGGCGGUCGUUCAAGUCGCGUGUGAAAGCCCCCGGCUCAACUGGGGAGGGUCACGCGAUACUGAUCGACUCGAAGGCAGGAGAGGGUAGUGGAAUUCCCGGUGUAGUGGUGAAAUGCGUAGAUAUCGGGAGGAACACCAGUGGCGAAGGCGACUACCUGGCCUGUUCUUGACGCUGAGGCGCGAAAGCUAGGGGAGCAAACGGG